rnacentral:misc_RNA from 1 species
UCUCCGUAGGUGAACCUGCGGAGGGAUCAUUACAAAGUUCAUGCCCUACCGGGUAGAUCUCCCACCCUAUGUUAUUAUUACUUUCUUGCUUUGGCGGGCCGUUAGGCUCCGGCCCGACUACCGGCCCCGGCUGGUACGAGCCCGCCAGAGGACCCAAAACCCUGAAUUUUUGUGUCGUUUGAGUACCAUAUAAUAGUUAAAACUUUCAACAACGGAUCUCUUGGUUCUG